rnacentral:rRNA from 1 species
UACGUAGGGGGCGAGCGUUGUUCGGAAUUAUUGGGCGUAAAGGGCAUGUAGGCGGCUUUGCAAGUCUGGUGUGAAAGGCGGGGGCUUAACCCCCGGACUGCGCUGGAAACUGCAUGGCUUGAGUCACUGUGGGGCAACCGGAAUUCCUGGUGUAGGGGUGAAAUCUGAAGAUAUCAGGAGGAACACCGAUGGCGAAGGCAGGUUGCCAGCGGAUGACUGACGCUGAGGUGCGAAGGUGCGGGGAGCAAAC